rnacentral:rRNA from 1 species
AUGGAUCCCGAUCCCGCCACUGACACCACUCUUGUUUUUGAAAAAGAUGUACUGGAAACAGUUUUUACUCAAGCUGCACCUUAUGUUGUAAGGCUUAAUAUGCGGCCCGUCCGUACAGGCCUCCUUAUUGGAUCAACAGAAUUGCAUGCUUUGGUAUCUGUUGACUCUUCUACGCUGACCGAAUUGCCCAUAUCGGUUCAGUUUUAUAAUCAGAAGAAAGCUGCAAUUGUUCAGAAGGUGGGGCAACUUCCUCGGUGCAGUAUUACUAUCCUGUUUACAGACCGCAUGCGCAACCCGUUGCCUCCUGUUCAAUUUGCUGAUUUGGAUCCCAAUGACAAUGUGUGCGAGAAGGUGGUGUCUCUUUUCCCCUAUAUGGAUGGAAUUUCUAUGUUCGAUGGACAUGUUGUGUUAAAUAAUUGCACUUCCAUGGGUAGGGGGGGGAACUAUUCAGCCAGGAUCCGCAGACUUGUUUGCAUUUACUUGCACAAACACGGUCCUAUUUCACACACCAAGAAACGAUGA